rnacentral:sRNA from 1 species
AUGCCACGGUUUCUUCAAAAUGAGCAUGAACAAGCUGUUGGCAUGGUCAGAGCUAGGUUGGCGCACUCUGACGUCGCAAAUCAUUUUCAUUUGUCAAGAAUAUUAAUAUCGAGACUGAUGAUUCGUCUGAGGCAAACUGGCUCAACAAAUGAUAGACCAAGUAGCGACAGACCCCAUGAGACGUCACAACGUCAAGACCGCGCCAUAUGUCUUUUGCACUUGCGCAACUGUACAUUGAAUGCAGGAAAUACGACCAGAGGAAUACCUGGUCGUCCCAAAAACAGAAUUGCGAGUCAGACAGUUCGUCGAAGUCUCAGAGCGCAUGGACUUUAUUCAAGACGUAUCCUGAAAGAGCCGCUCUUUAAACAGCGUAAUAGGGCUGCAAGACAAGAUUGGGCCCGUGCAAGACGACGUUGGAGGUUGCACAUCUGGCAGCAUAUCCCUUUUACAGAUGAGUCCCGAUUUCCUCUCUGUUCUAGUGAUGGACGCAUGAGAGUAUACCGUAGUCAAGGUUAA